rnacentral:lncRNA from 15 species
UGUGCCCAGCUAAAUGAAAAAUGUUUCUUUCUUGUUUUUUUUCCAUGUUAGAAUUGCAGCCCUUUGCCGCGUGUCAUCCCUUCUCUCUGCCUGUCUGUCUUCAGCUGUCACUAUCAUAAAGGCAAUAAAACCCCCCAAAAAUACUUAAAAAAACCAAACAAUUAUUGGUAAUUCACAAGAAAAAAGAAAAGAUGAAAAGAACAUCUGCUCUCCUAUACUGUUAAUCAUCUAAUGAUUUAUCUUGCUGCCCCCUGUUGUGCUCCUGCUCCCUAGGAUGGGAAUGACCAGACAAGAAAUCAGGAUUUGUCUCUGGACAACUCAACUGCUGCCAGGGGAGGAUUGGAGCAGCAGCAGAGUUCAGAAGAGAUACAACAUCAGGAGGAGAACCAGCCCCGUGGGCACUUGACUGUAACCACAGACACAGAGACUGCCACCAGGGCCAACAGGACCAACGAGGAUGGCGGAGAACAUCAGGCAGAGCGUCAGCCUGUGCACCCAACGCAGACCUGGAGAAGCCAGCUGGUUGAGGUUCUGCUGCGUAGUACAGCUAAUGGUCUCUGUACCUUAGUGUUUGACGCUCUGACCUGAUGGCUGAGACUGUAGCCCAUUGGGCUGCUGAUAUAGUCUGAUGUUGGGAGCCAUGACAACCACAUCAGGCAAGUACAUUUAAGUUCAUUAAAGACUCAAAGGUUAUGAGGCAACAGGGUAGCCGGAGCACAACAGGCAGGAGAGGCAGGUAGCAGGCUAGCUAGCAGUACAAGCAGGCUCACAAACCCAAUGCUGAUUGGUCACAUG